CUUCUUAGAGGGACUAUCGGUGUUUAACCGAUGGAAGUUUGAGGCAAUAACAGGUCUGUGAUGCCCCUAGAUGUUCUGGGCCGCACGCGCGCUACACUGAUGAAGUCAACGAGUUCAUUUUCCUAUGCCGNAAGGUACGGGUAAUCUUYUGAARCUUCAUCGUGAUGGGGAUAGAGCAUUGCAAUUAUUGCUCUUCAACGAGGAAUCCCUAGUAAGCACAAGUCAUCAGCUUGUGCUGAUUACGUCCCUGCCCUUUGUACACACCGCCCGUCGCUACUACCGAUUGGAUGGCUUAGUGAGG
rnacentral:rRNA from 1 species